rnacentral:rRNA from 1 species
GAUUUAAUCGUGAAACCGCGAAUGGCUCAUUAUAACAGCUAUAAUUUACUUGAUCUUGACCCAAUCCUACUUGGAUAACUGUGGUAAUUCUAGAGCUAAUACAUGCAUUAAGGCUCUGACCUCACGGGAAGAGUGCAUUUAUUAGAACAAAACCAAGCGGCUUUGGCUGUUUCUGGUUGACUCAUAGUAACUGAGCUGAUCGCACGGUCUUGCACCGGCGACGUGUCUUUCAAGUAUCUGCCGUAUCAACUUUCGAUGGUAGUGUAUCUGACUACCAUGGUGAUCACGCGUAACGGAGAAUAAGGGUUCGGCUCCGGAGAGUUCGCCUGAGAAAUCGCGAACACAUCUAAGGAAGGCAGCAGGCGCGAAAAUUACCCACUCUCAGCACGAGGAGGUAGUGACGAAAAAUAACGAGACCGUUCUCUUCUGAGGCCGGUCAUCGGAAUGGGUACAAUUUAAACCCUUUAACGAGUAUCUAUGAGAGGGCAAGUCUGGUGCCAGCAGCCGCGGUAAUUCCAGCUCUCAAAGUGCAUAGAAUUAUUGCUGCGGUUAAAAAGCUCGUAGUUGGAUCUGUGCCAUAGGACGUGGUCCACCUUCGGGUGCGUACUACGCUCCUAGGCUUUUUGUUGGUUUUCCCGUCGUAGCCUUUACUGGUUGCGGCGGGUGGCUGGCGAGUUUACUUUGAGAAAAUCAGAGUGCUCAAUMCAGGCGUAUCGCUUGAAUGAUUGUGCAUGGAAUAAUAGAAAAGGAUUUCGGUCCUCUUUUAUUGGUUUUGUGGACUGAGAUAAUGGUUAACAGGGACAAACGGGGGCAUUCGUAUCGCUGCGUGAGAGGGAAAU